rnacentral:rRNA from 1 species
CGCGAAGAACCUUACCAACUCUUGACAUCCCAUUGACCGCUUGAGAGAUCAAGUUUUCCCUUCGGGGACAAUGGUGACAGGUGGUGCAUGGUUGUCGUCAGCUCGUGUCGUGAGAUGUUGGGUUAAGUCCCGCAACGAGCGCAACCCCUAUCCUUAGUUGCCAGCAUUCAGUUGGGCACUCUAGGGAGACUGCCGGUGACAAACCGGAGGAAGGUGGGGAUGACGUCAAAUCAUCAUGCCCCUUAUGAGUUGGGCUACACACGUGCUACAAUGGACGGUACAAAGGGCAGCGAGACCGCGAGGUGGAGCCAAUCCCAUAAAGCCGUUCCCAGUUCGGAUUGCAGGCUGCAACUCGCCUGCAUGAAGUCGGAAUCGCUAGUAAUCGCAGGUCAGCAUACUGCGGUGAAUACGUUCCCGGGUCUUGUACACACCGCCCGUCACACCACGAGAGUUUGCAACACCCGAAGCCGGUGAGUAACCNGCAAGGAGCCAGCNGUCGAAGUGGUAGUNUUGG